AGGAAUUUAGUUUAUAAAAACAUUAACUUGUCAAGUUAAAAUUAUUAUUUAAUUAAUAAUUUCUA
rnacentral:tRNA from 1 species